GUUUGUGGCUGAAAACUGUACGACACUUUUGAAAGUGAAGACGCAAACACCCUAUCGGGUUCUCAUCAGCAAAGCAGGGGACAUCUCAACGCCAGAAUCAAACACAAGACUCGGGAACCCGCACCUCCAGCAGCUCCAGGGCGUUCUUUGAUUGGUUUUCAAGUCUCCUGCGCGACCCCUGCUGUUCCUUUAUCCUCCCCCUUCGUCUUCGUAUGCGCUAAUUUCUUGGCAAGAGAACGUCUCUGCUAUCUGCCUGCAGUCCCGCACGAAAAAUAAGACCUUGUGUCCAGGAGUGAAAAAUGUUCCAUUAGUUGGGUCAGUUACUGAGUUGCAAAAGUGAGCAGAAAACGUUAGUGUGGGAACUUGACUGCGAUGAAGAAAACACUGAAGCAAAAGGAGUUGACAGUCUAUCCCGGACUGACAGAACAGAUGAACUCAACAUUCUAUCUACUUUCAAGAAUCUGACAUCGACAUGUCGCCUGUUUCAUUCAACCGCGCUAAAAAUGGCGGAGGUGACGAAGCGGAAGUUCAGCGCCUGAUCUCCCUCUGCGCGUCCUCUGCCGGCGAGAGAGGGUACCAAGGGGCGGUAACCUCUUCUGACGAUUAGGCAGGCGUGUCGUGGGGGUCACUUGCAUCUUGUAGCUCGCAGGGUCGACAAUAUGGCGGCGACAGAUGGGUGCUUUAUUGGAUAAUGAUAUCGGCACCGACCGGUGCCCGCCUGUCCGCGCAAGGGGCUGUCCUUAUACGGCUAAUCAGGACCUGGGGAACCCACGGAGCCGGGGCUGUUCUCUGGCACCGCUUCCUCCUUCCGUCACCAGCCUCUUCAUCCCUAAGCGUGAGUUCUUUUUCCUGCCACGAGGCUGACACGCGGCUAAACCUGGCCAAUCCGCUGAGAAAUGACUGGGUGGUUGGUCCGCCCAAUUUUCUUCCCCUCCCUACUCUAAGCCUCCCAUUAGCAACUCUUCGUCAAAGGGCUAAAAGUUCCUGAAAGAAGUUUGUGUACGACUUCGCUUUGUUGUGUCUGAGAGUCUCCGAGUGCGAAAUAAAAGAUGUCAAUUCGUUGUAUUUUUCCUGCAAGGAUUAGCUGGUGGUUGCACUCCUGUUUAUUUUUGUGGGAUUCAGACGACUUCAGUAACUGUAAAAAAGGGAGUGUUUACAAGCGUCAAGUUUUUGUCGGGUCAAAUGUCAACUUAUUAUGUUUUUGUCGUUUUGUACAUACAUUGUCCCGUAGAUUCUACAUUCGCUGGUUUAGUCGCUGGACUUUAGAAUAGUUUUGUGUGAGAGAG